rnacentral:rRNA from 1 species
UACGGAGGGGGCAAGCGUUGUUCGGAGUUACUGGGCGUAAAGCGCGCGUAGGCGGUGCGGUAAGUCAGGGGUUAAAGGCUGCAGCUCAACUGCAGUAAGGCCUUUGAUACUAUCGCGCUAGAGUACCAGAGAGGAUGGCGGAAUUCCCGGUGUAGCGGUGAAAUGCGUAGAUAUCGGGAAGAACACCAGUGGCGAAGGCGCUCUGCUGGGCCAUAACUGACGCUCAGGCACGAAAGCGUGGGGAGCAAACAGG